AUCUACAGCCUUGCUACCCUGAACAAGCCAGAUUCCAUCUGAUCUCAGAAGUUAAGCAGGGUCGAGCCUGGUUAGUACUUGGAUGGGAGAAUACCUAGGAAGACCAGGUGCUAUAGGUG
rfam:Pteropus alecto contig14517, whole genome shotgun sequence.